AUUGAACGCUGGCGGCAGGCCUAACACAUGCAAGUCGAACGGUAACAGGAAGCAGCUUGCUGCUUCGCUGACGAGUGGCGGACGGGUGAGUAAUGUCUGGGAAGCUGCCUGAUGGAGGGGGAUAACUACUGGAAACGGUAGCUAAUACCGCAUAAUGUCGCAAGACCAAAGAGGGGGACCUUCGGGCCUCUUGCCAUCGGAUGUGCCCAGAUGGGAUUAGCUUGUUGGUGGGGUAACGGCUCACCAAGGCGACGAUCCCUAGCUGGUCUGAGAGGAUGACCAGCCACACUGGAACUGAGACACGGUCCAGACUCCUACGGGAGGCAGCAGUGGGGAAUAUUGCACAAUGGGCGCAAGCCUGAUGCAGCCAUGCCGCGUGUAUGAAGAAGGCCUUCGGGUUGUAAAGUACUUUCAGCGGGGAGGAAGGGAGUAAAGUUAAGACCUUUGCUCAUUGACGUUACCCGCAGAAGAAGCACCGGCGAACUCCGU
rnacentral:rRNA from 1 species